UCUCAAGCGAUCCUCCUGCCUCAGUCUCCUGAGUAACUUUGAAAUGAGACCCUUGUCAUUCUUAGAGUCCUUUGUUGAAUGGAAGAAGAAAUGGAAUAAUGCCGUAUCCACCUGAUGGGGACAUCACCUCCUACCUGGAUGGUCAGAGGACUCCUAUCCAUCCCACUGUUCCUUCUGGUUUGGGGCCCAGAGUCUUCCACCAAAGCCUGAACAUGCUUCUACUCCCAGGGCCUCCACAUUCCACGGAUGGCUGAUGGAGAAGAAUCCCAGGUCAUCUGUGGACACCUCUCCUUCUGUAUCCCCAGAACAUGAUGUGCACAGGUGCAUAAAGGAAAUUUAAAUUUUAUGCCCAGGGGCUCCCACUCUCACCCUCCUGAGCAGAAGCUGGGGAUCCUCUGAGCUGCUGUCCCUGAUGUUAGAGAGCCCUUAUCCCUGAGACCAAUGCCAGUCAUCAAAUACAUCUCAUAGGAUGUCUGCACAAAAUCAGCUGCCCCAAGCCCCUUGCCUCCCUCCUCCUGGCUUCUCUGAUGCAUCCCCCACAGGAAUGAGCUCCAAAUUUCUCUCUUCUGCAUCCAAAAGUCCAGUGAGGAGUGUGGAUGCGUGUAAUGUGGCCCCUUCAUCACAUCCACCCCGUGCGUUCCUACCUUAUCCAGUGUCCCCAACCCCAAAAAACAGAAGGACCAUCCAAGGAGGACCAGCUUCAGGCCCAGAGA